CGGGAGAUGGCUGAGUGGUUGAAAGCGGCGGUCUUGAAAACCGUUGAGGGUCAUACCUCCGGGGGUUCGAAUCCCUCUCUCCCGG
rnacentral:tRNA from 6 species